CUCUGGAAUAUUGCUCGACUAUUUAGAACAGCAGUAAUGAUAACAUUAAGGCCAGGUUCUGUCAGGACAAUGUCGGCAGCACUACGAGCUGCAUCAAUUGCAUCAGCAACAGCUAUGCCAAUGUCUGCUUUCUUUAGAGCGGGAGCAUCAUUGAUACCGUUACCAAUCAUUCCACAUAUAUGUUUCCUAGCUUGCAAACGCUUCACAAUCUCAUAUUUGUGCUCUAUAAAAGAAAUAAGGACAGCCGUGUAAGCAAGGGUUAAAAAAAGAAAUAUGCUACGAUUAAAAUAUAACGAAAAGGUUGUAGGAUGUGGUUAUGCAUACAUCAAGUACAGUUCAAGCUAUACAACGCUGACUUCAGUAUGUGGACGACUACUUAAUGCAAAUUAGGAGAUCAAGCUUUUUACCAGGGAAAACACCAGCAAACCCAUCAGCUUUCUCAAUCAACUCGUCAACUGGUAAAGCAACUAUCGACUCAUCCCUGUCCUGCCCUAAUAAGGCUGAUGAAGGAUACAUGUUGGUUCCCAUUCCAAGACGGCGUCCUGUUUCUUUUGCUAUUGCAAGUUGAUCACCUGACAAAGAGGAAAAGUCAAACAGAUUUAAUAUCCAUCUUAAUGUGAUGAAAACGCCAAUUAAAACAUUCUAAAAAGGUAAAACCAUAAGAGUAUUUAAAUUCCACCAGCAAUGCAAAAGAAAACUGACAUAUAAGCAUUUUUUGAGAUAGAAGGAUUAAACAAAAGCAGAAACAACAAAAUUUCUCUAGAUAUAAAUGGUGCCUAAACAAAGACUAAAUAUUAAGAUUACAAAUUAGGAAGACAUACUACAGUAAAUGGGAGAAGCACCUGUAGUCAUUUUCACGCUCAACUAGGAACACAUAAUACAAUAAAUGGGAGAAGCACCUGUGAUCAUUUUCACGCUCAAUCCAAGAUUCAGUGCCCUUCUUAUUGUUUCUGCACUAUCAUGCCUAGGAGGAUCAAACAAAGGAAUGAGUCCAAUAAAUUGCCAUGGGCUUCCUGAGCUCUCUUUUGAUCCAUCAGGAACUUCCUGAAACCAAAUUAAUAAAUAUAGACUUUGUUAAUACAAAUUGCAAUUGAAGUAAUGCACUGCUAUAGUGGUGUGAAGAUACGACCUAGAACAAUGACAUAGGUAACUCAUAUACCUGAUAUGCCACUGCAAGAGACCGUAAUCCUCGUUCUGCAAACUUAUCAAUCACAGCAUUGAUUCUGCGUCCUAUCUCUGAUUUGUUGUGUACAAGAUUUAAAAUCUGAAAGUCAAAAUAAAAGCAUAAAUUAUAUCAAAUGGCCUUUCAGAAUCCUAGAACAUACUAUUAGUUGUUGACAAUCAUACCUGCUCUGGAGCACCUUUGGUGACCCUAUGCAUUUUACCUUCAGUGUCGAUAUAUGUCAGAGCUGUUCGCUUACCUGUGGGGUCAAAUGGAAGGAAGUGAACUUCUUGGAUAUCAGCCCUUGCCUUGUUUAAGGUCAAAAGCAAAGAAAUCAGUGUCAACAAAAUGAUAAGACGAAAAAUUAAGAAAAUCUUCUACAAGUUGCCUUUGAGAAUACAAAAUUUCAACAACAGUUAAGCUUAGCUAGAGUAAAAUACAUACAUGAAAUUCUAGAAUUCAUAAAUAUACCUUCUUUGGAUCAGCCAACAUUCCUACUAUAGCAGCAUCUAUUACAUCUAGGUUUUCCACUUGGGAGGCUCGAGCUGCCAUCAGAACAACAGUGUCUGCAUCCACUCCUUUAGCAAAGAUCUGAACAAUGAUCCAGGCCAAUUGUUGAAAUACAAAUUGCAAUUCUAAAAGUGAGCAAAAUUUACACCAACCUCAAUUAGAUUCUUGUCAACUGUUAAUUUGUUCAAAGUUAGAGUUCCGGUUUUGUCACAGCAAAGCACAUCCAUGCCUGCCAUUUCGACUAUUGCACUGAUUCUCUUUGUGAUGACACCCUGCAGUAAUAAGCCCAUAUAUGCUUGCAACCAUCAACUAAUGACCACUAAAAGUAACAUCAUUAUAAAUAACAACUAAGACCAACCUGCCGAGACAAUCGUUUGGAACCAAUCGCCAUUGUCACUGAUAAAACAGUAGGCAUGGCGAUAGGAAUUCCUCCAAUAAGAAGCACAAGUAAAUUAUCAAGUCCUGUGCGGUAUUCCCUGUGUUGAACCGCGUACAUGACAAUGAUCUCUAAUAUUAACCCCAGUGCAAUUGAACAUAUGCAGUAUUUUCCAACUGCAGUCAAGAUCUGUAAACAAGCCCGAGAGCAAGAGUUUCGGUGAAUGAUAAUGUGAGAUUGAACAUAAAAACAAGUCUUAAGGAAUGUGAAUUCGCAUUUUCUUGCCUUUUGAAAGUGACCCACUUGAUUUUUGGUAUCCACAAGGUGUACAGCCCUGCCAAGGAAGGUAUGAAUACCAGUGGCAAUGACCACAGCUUGAAUCUCCCCUUGUUUGCACGUAGAGCCUGAAUGUACACAGUCACCAGGGCCCUUACUUACGGGAAUAGACUCGCCUGUGAGAGCAGACUGCAAUGUACAAAUUGAAAGAACUUAAAUUAAAUAGACCAACUUUACCAAAUCAAUGCAAACAUACAAAGAUUGCAAAAGCUCACCUGAUCAAUUUCCAAUGGAUCACCUUCGAGGAGACGAGCAUCAGCAGGAAUAAUGUCACCAAGCUUAACACUAAUGACAUCACCAGGAACAAGAAUGGCUGCAUCUUCCUCCUUCCACCUUCCAUCUCGAAGGACCUGAAAUAAUUUCUCCAAUUACAGGAAUGCCAGAGCCUAGAGCCACAAACUCUUCUUAAAAAGUAUUAUUUUACAAAUUAAUAUGACAUAACAGUUUUUGAUUUCAAUUCUCAUUGAAUUAAGUUGAUAUGAACUUAAUAAUAAACUUGUUAGAUAUGCAUAUGCACUAACUCACCAAUAAUCUUAAUCUGACAACUAUUCGAGUGUAGUCAGUACCUUUGAUUUAGGAGCAAGACGAGCCAUGAGAGCUGCGCUGGCAGCACCUGCAUUGUUCUCCUGAAUGAAACAAACUGUUGAGUUGAUAAGAAGCAGGGUUGUUAUCCCAAUAAAAUCUUGCCAUUCAGGAGGUUUACCCUGCAGCAAUGAAAUUCCCAACAGUAAGAUAUUGCUUACAAAAUGAGCUAAUGAACAUAUUUUCAUUUCCAAAAACAUCAAAUGGAAAACACCAUUUUUUUUUUUUCGAAAACAAAAUUUAAAAAUAUAAUUUGAAAAACAGUAAUCAAUACUCACUCCUCCAUUUGCAAGUACAAUUGCCAUGAUAGCCGCAGCUUCCAUGACCCAUGAGAGAGGGUUCCACAUAAAUCCCAAAAACUUCAAAAUUUUACUUUCCUGCCAAAAAAUGAAUAAAUAAAAAAGUAAAAUAAAAAAAAAAUACAAUAAACAAAAGCAAAAUGUCUUACAAUCAUUAAAAAGGUAUCUUUUUUGAUUAAUAGAACUUUCCCAUAAGAAGCUAACAAGGAUGAAAAAAAAAUGCUAAAUGUAAAACUACCCUUUUCUCCUCAAGCUUGUUGGAGCCAAAUAUGGAAAGUCUCUGCUCAGCAGCCUCCGUCGAAAGGCCCUCUUGAUUGCACUUCAAAGUCUCAAAAACCUCCUGCAUCGCUACGUUUUCCUGCAGACCAAAACCUGAACUUCCUCACAAAACAAAUUACCUAGAAAGCACAAACACUUAAUAACACUGAAGAAAAUGACGAACUCUGUUUCAAUACCAAAUCCACAUCUUCAUUCGUUAUGCUCUCCAUUUCUUCUCAAUAAACUCACUUUCUUCACUUUCGUUAUCUUCCUUCAAACCCCAUAAAAACCAAGUAAUUAAACAAAUCAUGUUAAAACAAAAUCACAGGAAAAAUAAACGAUUGAGAGAGAGAGAGAGUAAAAAACAGAGUAAUAUGUUUUGCUUUCCACCUUUUAAUUUGAGAAAUCUCUUUCUGUAGAGAGAGAAGGAGGGAAUAGUUUUAGUCUCUCGAGAAUCUAUGAGUGGUAGCUUCUAUAAGUGCAAGGUUUCUCUUUAUAUGUCAGUGUGUUCUCUCUCCUCCAUUUUUUUUUUAAUUCUUUAUUUUUACUUGUCCAGUUCAGUUCUCGCGUUCUGUCUUUUCCUUUAAUUUUCUUGCUGGUAACUUAAUCGAGAAGGUGUGUCGAAACAACCCCAUUUUACUUUCCACACUACUGCAUGGCUUUUGCUCUGAAGUCAAUGCAACGAGGAAUUUGUUCAAAAGUCAAGCAUGCAGUUGUUGAGUGAGCCAUCCUACCAUGCAGAUACAGCCCAUGCAUGCAACCGGUACAACCGGUUUUUAACCGGUUAAUAUAAUAAAAAUUACAUUUUUUUUGUUUUGAAUGUGAAAAAAUAGGGAAAAAAGGAUAAAAUUGUAAUUAAAUGAGGAAAAAUAUUGCAAUAAUUUUAAAUUUACAAAAAAUUUAAAAAAACUAGAAAUAUGUCAUAAAAUUGUCAUAUUCCUACUUAUUUUGUCAUAUUUCAAUACAUUAUAUAAUGUAUGUUUCAAGUUUACUUUUCAAAUCUCUAUUUUUUGUAACGAUUUAUCUAAAUUUUGGUAAGUUGUUUCGACUCAUUUUCCCACUAGUUUUUAGUUCUAUAUUUUUACUCUUUUCAUUAAUUUUUAGAUUUUUUAAGUGGAUAUUUCAAGUUUAAUUUCAUAUCUCUACAAUAUGUUAAAUUUUUAUCUAAUUUUUGGUAAAUUAUUCCGAUUUAUUUUUCUACCACUUUUUGGUUCUAUAUUCCUAUUCUUUUUAUUGAAAUUCAACAUUUUAAAUAAAUAUAUCAAGUUUAUCUUUUAGAUCCCUAUAAAUUAUUUCAAUUUUUAAGUUAACUUCUUCGACUCUUGUAAAAACCGUGGCGCGGAACAAUGGUAAGGCUGCUGUUACCGUAGAAGUCCACGCAAAUGGUACGUUGUUCAAACACACACAUGCAGAUGGUGAUAAGAAAACAGCUAAAAACGUUGCAUGCAAAGAAUUGUUGAAUGAGUGAGUAUUCUAGCUUUCCUGGGACUAAGCUUAUGAAUUUUCAGUAGUUGUCAUAUUCUACACUUCUUCUAACAAAAUAGAUUUUUAAACACUAACAAAAGUAACGACAGAGAUAUUUCGAAUUAUAUUUAAAAAUGCAACUACUGAUGGAAGAAUUAAUGCCCGACCCCAAAGACUAAAGAGUAAUUUACCUAAACAGUAAAGAUUUAUAUUACGUUAAUGAUGUUUCCUUGCUAUUCAGAUGCUUCUCAACUUUACCGUCAUUUCUUUUCUUUUGGAUGGUUAUCAUUAGAAUUUUGUAACUCUCACCAUCAAGAGGAUAAAAAAUUUAUAAAGUUGACGUUUGGAACUGUGGAUGGUAGUUGAGUCUUUUAAUUGGUACAUUUUUUAAGGUAUGAAGUUUGAACUUUAUCUUUUAAGGAAUCAGAUAAACGCAAGCAAAUUCUAUUAUAGCUUUUUGAUUACAUCCAAAAAUUGCAGGUUACAUUUUUUUAAUUAUCAAAAAAAUAAUGAAACCCAAAAGUUAAAAAGUCUUCACUAGUAGUUUUCAAGCAACUUUAUCUAAAGGUCAUUCAAAUCUCAAUUCUCAGAUGGUAUGAGGCUAAAAAUUUAAUCUGAAUUUUACCCACCACCUCCCCACUUUUUAGAGGAUACAUACAUACAUACAUAUAUAUAUAUAUAUAUAUAUAUAUAUAUAUAUAUAUAUAUAUAUAUAUAUUUCAAAAUUAUGGUUUGUAUCACAAGUAGUGAGCAUAUAGUGCUUAAACCCAUCAUACUAUUUCUUCAAACACAAAAUGUAGAACUGAAAAACACAACCCAGAUUGGCAAAUAUAUACAUCAGAAAUGCAACUAUAACUCUUUCAGGAUGAAUUGCAUAAUUACUUGUGGGCUAAGGCACUUAUAUCUGCGAUCUCAGCAUAUGUUCCUUGUCCACGAAUGUGUCACGUGCGAUCUGUAUCAGACGGAGUAGGAUUGCAGAAUUGGGUCGAUAUCCAGUCCUUUAAGCCUAAUCAGUGAUUCAACUUGCCCUUUCAGUGUAUGCACUAUGCAGUUCUCUCAAUCUGCAAAAAAUCAAAAUAGUGAAUGCAUAAGAGUGUACAUUCCAAGCAAUAAAUUUCAGCUCUUAAAGAGUAGAAAUAAAGUAAUGUAAUUUCCUGGCAUUAUAUUUAUAUGUUUACCUAGCAAUCUCAGCUCUUCUUAUUGCUUCUUCAGCCAUCCGGCUGAGUUCUCCGUAACUGCUUUCUACACUGAACAUGCUGGUGUCACGCGGGUGCAACCCAUGGAGGGUUCUCUGCUCCUGUGCCCAUCGACGCUCAUGUUCUUCUUUUCCGAAAUCUCUUUUAGUUGUGAAGGCAGUCUGCAAAAUAGGAAUUACACUAUGGAGAGUGAGCAAGAAAUUAAGGUCCAGCACUUGAAUAAAAUUUGUUGAACUCGAGCCAUCAAUACCCUUUGUUCAAUGACAAGAUCCCAAAAAUUCCUGCUGAGCACAUAUCGGAUGAAGAACUUUAUAAAAUCAAGCAGAAUGUAGAAGAUAAUAUUAUAAAGCCAAAUCACACCAGCCCAACCCCAUCCUAUUCCUUCAAUUGUAGCAAAGCUCCAGGUUGCAUAGACGGCAAUCAGUGUAGCAGUCUGCUCACAGAAUCAAAAAGGAUCAACUCAUCCUCUAUAUGUCAGAAAGGCCAAAAGGAAACAGCAUUUAUCACUCACCAGCUGAGCAACACAGAAAGCCAGAGCAAGAAACAGGACAGGACACUUGACGUAAGACCAACUCCUUGCAUGUGUCACGAAUAGGUGGGCCUGACUGAUGGAACUCACUUGCAGGUAUACUGCCGAGGCAAGUUUUCUCCAGUCGUCCACAUUCUUUUUGUUAAGACUUGAAACGCCAAAUGUACGCUGAAUGUUGAAGACAAUGUAAAGGCAUACAUUAUUCUCUAUAUUAUUAAAUCAAGGAAAACGAGCUUACAUAACACCCGAAUUGGGUGGCAUGAUAAAACAAAAGAUAAAUCACAUUACUGGAAAGAAGUCUGUCUUGUAUGCUGUCCAAAAGAAAAUCACAGUCAUCAUUGCCAAGUAACCACCAAGAAUGCUUCCAGUUACAAAGAUCUAGGUCAAAUUCCACUUUUCUGGAUGAGGAGAUGGUCUGACUCUAUCUUUUGAUAUUGUCAUAAUAAUAGCACCUGGCAAUCAAUGUACCGGGUAAAUAUCAAUAGACAAGUAUAUUUCUUAUUUGAAAUCAAUACACCUGGAUGAAAAGGAAUACAAACAGUUACGAUAUACAUGAUGAGUCAAGGAAAUACAAACCAUCAUUAAGAAUAGCAAUUAUCAGGACCAUGAAGGAUGGAAAGUUAAACUGCAAGAUGAGCGCUAGCAGCCUGAAACCAACUGUCACCAAGAGAAACAGUUAAGAUGUCAAGCUGAGAUAUUCAAGCUACUUUUGUGAAGACUCUUUCAUAUUCAUCAGCAGGGCAAUAAUUACUAUAGAAGAUUAAAGUUGCAAUUACCAAAUAAAUUACACAAUACUCUCCUACAUGGUAUUUGAAACAAGCAGCAAACAACUUACUCCAAAAUGGAUGGUAAUGGAGACUGCAUAUCUCUGCGACAAGAAAGAAAUUAGUUAAGCAUCAAAAAGAGGGGAGAUAGCAAGAAGGAAUCGACUAAUUCAAGUUAAAAAUGCUCGUGUUCUUGUUUCAAUUUUGCAAAACUCUGAGACACUGUAAAGAAGUUACCAAUGCCCACAAAAAUCAAGUUUUCAUGAACAGCACCACCACCAAUGUCUUGGUUUAUUAUCUUAUUUAUUAUUAUUUUACCUCAGGCUCUAAAAGUAGUUUACAGAAAAAUGACAUGUUAUGUCAAUCUGAGUGCUUUCUUCACCACCAGGCACUCAAGCAGUGUAAAAUGGAAGCUUUAAAAUUAUUAGUUUGUUUGUAGGUUAAGGAAUGUGGAAUAGAUAGAAUUACAUGGGUUGUGUAUUCCCUCACACAAAUCCCAUCCUUCACUACACUAUUGACUACAAAACACCUUUUCCUUAGAAUCAAAACCAACCAUCACCGUGUAACUUCUCAUCCUCUGGAGUAUUGCUCGACUAUUUAGAACGGCAGUAAUGAUAACAUUAAGGCCAGGUUCUGUCAGGACAAUGUCGGCAGCACUACGAGCUGCAUCAGUUGCAUCAGCAACAGCUAUGCCAAUGUCUGCUUUCUUUAGAGCGGGAGCAUCAUUGACACCGUUACCGAUCAUUGGACAUAUAUGGUUCCUAGCUUGCAAAUGCUUCACAAUCUC
rnacentral:lncRNA from 1 species